UACGUAGGGGGCAAGCGUUGUCCGGAAUCAUUGGGCGUAAAGAGCGCGUAGGCGGCCCGGUAAGUCCGCUGUGAAAGUCAAGGGCUCAACCCUUGAAUGCCGGUGGAUACUGUCGGGCUAGAGUCCGGAAGAGGCGAGUGGAAUUCCUGGUGUAGCGGUGAAAUGCGCAGAUAUCAGGAGGAACACCAAUGGCGAAGGCAGCUCGCUGGGACGGUACUGACGCUGAGGCACGAAAGCGUGGGGAGCAAACAGG
rnacentral:rRNA from 1 species